CCCCCGGCCCUUUUCAGGGCCACCACAUAUUUCAGAAAGAAAUGUAU
rfam:Branchiostoma floridae genomic scaffold BRAFLscaffold_174, whole genome shotgun sequence.